rnacentral:tRNA from 1 species
UCCUAGUUAUAGUUCAGAUGGUAGAACGCUGCACUAGAAAUGAGGUGGUCUCUGGUUCGAUACCAGGACCAGGCG